rnacentral:miRNA from 1 species
CAGUCAGCUGUGGGUGGGUGGCA